UCCUACGGGAGGCAGCAGUGGGGAAUAUUGCACAAUGGGGGAAACCCUGAAGCAGCAACGCCGCGUGGAGGAUGACACAUUUCGGUGCGUAAACUCCUUUUAUAUAGGAAGAUAAUGACGGUACUAUAUGAAUAAGCGCCGGCUAACUCCGUGCCAGCAGCCGCGGUAAUACGGAGGGCGCAAGCGUUACUCGGAAUCACUGGGCGUAAAGAGCGUGUAGGCGGGUUAAUAAGUUGGAUGUGAAAUCCUAUGGCUCAACCAUAGAACUGCAUCCAAAACUGUUAACCUAGAGUAUGGGAGAGGUAGAUGGAAUUUCUGGUGUAGGGGUAAAAUCCGUAGAGAUCAGAAGGAAUACCGAUUGCGAAGGCGAUCUACUGGAACAUUACUGACGCUGAGACGCGAAAGCGUGGGGAGCAAACAGGAUUAGAUACCCUGGUAGUCCACGCCCUAAACGAUGUACACUAGUUGUUGCCAUACUAGAUAUGGCAGUAAUGCAGUUAACACAUUAAGUGUACCGCCUGGGGAGUACGGUCGCAAGAUUAAAACUCAAAGGAAUAGACGGGGACCCGCACAAGCGGUGGAGCAUGUGGUUUAAUUCGACGAUACGCGAAAAACCUUACCUGGACUUGACAUAGUAGAAUGUUUUAGAGAUAAAACAAUGUCUGCUUGCAGAAACUUGCGUACAGGUGCUGCACGGCUGUCGACAGCUUCGGUCCGUGAGA
rnacentral:rRNA from 1 species